rnacentral:rRNA from 1 species
AUUGAACGCUAGCGGGAUGCUUUACACAUGCAAGUCGAACGAGUGGCGGACGGGUGAGUAAUAUAUCGGAACGUGCCCAGUAGCGGGGGAUAACUACUCGAAAGAGUGGCUAAUACCGCAUACUAUUAGAGCGGCCGAUAUCGGAUUAGCUAGUGGGUGGGGUAAAGGCUCACCAAGCCAACGAUCCGUAGCUGGUUUGAGAGGACGACCAGCCACACUGGGACUGAGACACGGCCCAGACUCCUACGGGAGGCAGCAGUGGGGAAUUUUGGACAAUGGGGGAAACCCUGAUCCAGCCAUCCCGCGUGUAUGAGAAGGCCUUCGGGUUGUAAAGUACUUUCAGUCGGGAGGCGUUACCGACAGAAGAAGCACCGGCUAACUCCGUGCCAGCAGCCGCGGUAAUAC